AUGGAAGAUAGAAAGAGGAGGCCACGGAGUAUAACUCGUGUAGGGUGUAAAGCUAAAUUGGUGAUUGCAAGACAGGAGAAAACAUCUCAGUGGUUUGUGAAGGAUUUCAUCGAUGAACACAACCAUCCUCUAGCCCCACGCGAUCUGUCGUGUCUUUUGCGUUCACACAGAAGAAUUAGCGAUGAGCAAAAAGCGAACAUUGCAGACAUGGAAAAAUCUGGAAUCAGAAAACACCAUAUUAUGGAUAUUAUGUGCAUGCAAUAUGGUGGAUAUGAUGAGGUUGGAUGCAUUAUGAUAGACGUUUACAAUUUUUGCCAUGCUAACAAGCAGGGAUCAAUUGCUUCCAGGGAUGCUCAAACAGUGUUCAAUCACAUGGUGACGAGGCAAGAUUCAGAUUGA
rnacentral:rRNA from 1 species